AUAAUACUCCCUCCGUUUCAUAAUUUUUGUCUCAAAUUUGUCCAAAAAUGGAUGUAUCUAUUUCUAAAAAGUGUCUAGAUACAUGUAAUAUUUCGACAAGAAUUAUGAAAUAGAGGGAGUAGAUA
rfam:Brachypodium distachyon strain Bd21 chromosome 5, whole genome shotgun sequence.